rnacentral:rRNA from 1 species
AGUGAACGCUGGCGGUAGGCCUAACACAUGCAAGUCGAACGGCAGCACAGAGGAGCUUACUCCCUGGGUGGCGAGUGGCGGACGGGUGAGGAAUACAUCGGAAUCUACUCUGUCGUGGGGGAUAACGUAGGGAAACUUACGCUAAUACCGCAUACGACCUACGGGUGAAAGCAGGCGAUCCUCGGACCUUGCGCGACUUAAUGAGCCGGUGUCGGAUUAGCUAGUUGGCGGGGUAAAGGCCCACCAAGGCGACGAUCCGUACGCUGGUCUGAGAGGAUGAUCAGCCACACUGGAACUGAGACACGGUCCAGACUCCUACGGGAGGCAGCAGUGGGGAAUAUUGGACAAUGGGCGCAAGCCUGAUCCAGCCAUACCGCGUGGGUGAAGAAGGCCUUCGGGUUGUAAAGCCCUUUUGUUGGGAAAGAAAUCCAUCUGGUUAAUACCCGGGUGGGAUGACGGUACCCAAAGAAUAAGCACCGGCUAACUUCGUGCCAGCCGCCGCGGUAA